rnacentral:lncRNA from 1 species
UGAAACAAGAUUUCCUCCGCUCAAGCCUCUCUUCCCAGAGUCAGAAGAAGAGGUUCGCUGAUGCAUGAAACACUUUUUCCCCCGGUCAAGAUCAUCUCCAUGUCUCUCACUCUUUCUAGUUGCUCCAAAGAUAAGGAGCUUCUUCUACCUAUAAUAAUGUACUAAAUAAAUAUUCUCAAUAAAAAGAUGAUCAGUUACUAAUGAAUUAAAAAAUUGUCUACAUCUACAUUUUGUCAAGAUGAUCGAGAGAGAGAGUGAAAUAACACAAUUUAAACCAAAAACGUCACUUAGACACACAUAGAAAAUAAAUAAAUAAUUACCCCAAACCGCAAACUAGUUUUGUGUAAUAAAUAUAUAAACAUCAAACCGAUCAGCUUAAAUUCACUAAUUAACUUAAUAAGUUCAACUUUAUAUACUAGAAUAGAUUUUCAACAUAAUAAACAAUGACCAAACCUUAUACAAACUCAAAUCUAGCUACACCAAAGUUCUAUCAUCCUCAACUGAAACUUAAUAGUAUUUUACAUAUGAUUUUCCUAUCAUUCAAAUCCAAAAAGGGAAGAUUGGACCUGUGAUGAUAACAAGAUGGUUUCUUCCAUUUGAUGAGUCUGAUCCUGCCUCCAUAGAAGCAGCUGAGAGGAUGAACCAAUUCUUUCAUGGAUGGUAUAUAUAUAUAUUACAGAACAAUGUAACAGUAUAUAGUGUAUGUAUGUAUAAUUAAAAGAUAUACAUGGAUCAGGUACAUGGAGCCGCUAACAAAGGGUAGAUACCCAGACAUCAUGAGGCAGAUUGUGGGUAGUAGGCUUCCCAACUUUACCGAGGAAGAAGCCGCACUCGUUGCCGGUUCAUAUGAUUUUCUUGGUCUCAACUAUUACGUCACUCAGUACGCCCAGCCAAAACCUAACCCAUAUCCUUCAGAGACACACACUGCCAUGAUGGACGCUGGCGUAAAGCUCACAUGUACUAGUCUAUUACCACUAAUUAGAUACAGCCUUUCUAUACAUAUAAAUAUUCUUUUAUCUCCUUUUUGUUGCAACGUACUUUGUGAGUGACCAUCUGUUAUUUCAUCCUUGUGUUUACAGAUGAUAACUCACGUGGUGAAUUUCUUGGUCCACUGGUAUAUAUCAAUGAUCCACCCCCUAAGAUUUGUUUUUCUUUCAUUUUUUCAGUUUUCAGUAUAACAACCCUAAUUAUGUUUUUUAAUUGAUGUGUAUAUUUAUUUACUUCCAUUUUCACAGUUCGUUGAAGACAAGGUAAACGGCAACAGCUAUUACUACCCAAAAGGCAUUUACUACGUAAUGGACUACUUCAAAACCAAAUACGGAGACCCUUUAAUCUAUGUCACCGAGAACGGUGAGUUUUACGAACUCUUUUCAUUUAUACCACAUAAUAAUUAUUGUAUUUUGAUAUUAGUCGAAGAAACUGACUUUAUUGUGGAAUAUUUUUAAUGUGGCGGUUUAUUUAGGAUUUAGUACCCCCAGUGAAGAAAACCGUGAGCAGGCUAUUGCCGAUUACAAGCGAAUUGAUUAUCUCUGCAGUCAUUUAUGUUUUCUCCGCAAGGUCAUCAAGUGAGUGGAUACUACUAUAAAUGAUUUUCUUCUUAUGUUAUUUCUUCUUCUUUUUUGCUAACAUUUAUAUAUGAUUGUUCUUGUUUUCAGGGAGAAGGGUGUCGACGUGAGAGGAUACUUCGCAUGGGCUCUUGGAGACAAUUAUGAAUUCUGUAAAGGCUUUACCGUCAGAUUUGGACUCAGUUACGUUAAUUGGGAAGAUCUUGACGAUAGAAACCUCAAAGAAUCUGGCAAAUGGUACCAGAGAUUCAUCAACGGGACCGUCAAGAACGCUGUGAAACAAGAUUUCCUCCGCUCAAGCCUCUCUUCCCAGAGUCAGAAGAAGAGGUUCGCUGAUGCAUGAAACACUUUUUCCCCCGGUCAAGAUCAUCUCCAUGUCUCUCACUCUUUCUAGUUGCUCCAAAGAUAAGGAGCUUCUUCUACCUAUAAUAAUGUACUAAAUAAAUAUUCUCAAUAAAAAGAUGAUCAGUUACUAAUGAAUAAAAAAAUUGUCUACAGCUACAUUUUGUCAAGAUGAUCGUGAGAGAGAGAGAGUGAAAUAACACAAUUUAAACCAAAAACGUCACUUAGACACACAUAGAAAAUAAAUAAAUAAUUACCCCAAACCGCAAACUAGUUUUGUGUAAUAAAUAUAUAAACAUCAAACCGAUCAGCUUAAAUUCACUAAUUAACUUAAUAAGUUCAACUUUAUAUACUAGAAUAGAUUUUCAACAUAAUAAACAAUGACCAAACCUUAUACAAACUCAAAUCUAGCUGCACCAAAGUUCUAUCAUCCUCAACUGAAACUUAAUAGUAUUUUACAUAUGAUUUUCCUAUCAUUCAAAUGAUUUUAUUUUAUUUUGGUUCUUAUAUAAUCAAGAAAACCAAAAGAAGCUAAACCUCAGUACUUUAUGUUCUAUGAAUGCUUCCCCAUUCUCAUAUUAAGAUCUCGACGACAGAAACCUCAAAGAAUCUGGCAAAUGGUACCAGAGAUUCAUUAACGGGACUGUCAAGAAUUCUGCGAAACAAGAUUUCCUCCGCUCAAGCCUCUCUUCCCAGAGUCAGAAGAAGAGGCUUUCUGAUGCAUGAAACACUUUUCCCCCUCAAGAUCAU